rnacentral:rRNA from 1 species
AUUGAACGCUGGCGGCAGGCCUAACACAUGCAAGUCGAGCAGUUGACGGGAGCUUGCUCCCUGAUUCAGCGGCGGACGGGUGAGUAAUGCCUAGGAAUCUGCCUAUUAGUGGGGGACAACGUUUCGAAAGGAACGCUAAUACCGCAUACGUCCUACGGGAGAAAGCAGGGGACCUUCGGGCCUUGCGCUAAUAGAUGAGCCUAGGUCGGAUUAGCUAGUUGGUGAGGUAAUGGCUCACCAAGGCGACGAUCCGUAACUGGUCUGAGAGGAUGAUCAGUCACACUGGAACUGAGACACGGUCCAGACUCCUACGGGAGGCAGCAGUGGGGAAUAUUGGACAAUGGGCGAAAGCCUGAUUCAGCCAUGCCGCGUGUGUGAAGAAGGUCUUCGGAUUGUAAAGUACUUUAAGUUGGGAGGAAGGGUUGUAGAUUAAUACUCUGCAAUUUUGACGUUACCGACAGAAUAAGCACCGGCUAACUCUGUGCCAGCCGCCGCGGUAAUAC